UACGUAGGGUCCGAGCGUUGUCCGGAAUUACUGGGCGUAAAGAGCUCGUAGGUGGUUUGUCGCGUUGUUCGUGAAAACUCACAGCUCAACUGUGGGCGUGCGGGCGAUACGGGCAGACUAGAGUACUGCAGGGGAGACUGGAAUUCCUGGUGUAGCGGUGGAAUGCGCAGAUAUCAGGAGGAACACCCCGUGGCGAAAGGCGGCUCUCUGGAACGCCAACUGACGCUGAGACGCGAAAGCGUGGGGGAGCAAACAGG
rnacentral:rRNA from 1 species